rnacentral:tRNA from 1 species
GGUAGUGUGGCCGAGUGGUCUAAACCACUGGAUUAAGGCUCUAGUCUCUUUGGGGGUGUGGGUUCAAAUCCCACUGCUGCCA